AUUGAACGCUGGCGGCAUGCUUUACACAUGCAAGUCGAACGGUAACAGGCCGCAAGGUGCUGACGAGUGGCGAACGGGUGAGUAAUGCAUCGGAACGUGCCCAGUCGUGGGGGAUAACGCAGCGAAAGCUGCGCUAAUACCGCAUACGAUCUAUGGAUGAAAGCGGGGGACCGUAAGGCCUCGCGCGAUUGGAGCGGCCGAUGUCAGAUUAGGUAGUUGGUGGGGUAAAGGCUCACCAAGCCAACGAUCUGUAGCUGGUCUGAGAGGACGACCAGCCACACUGGGACUGAGACACGGCCCAGACUCCUACGGGAGGCAGCAGUGGGGAAUUUUGGACAAUGGGGGCAACCCUGAUCCAGCAAUACCGCGUGUGUGAAGAAGGCCUUCGGGUUGCAAAGCACUUUAGGCGGGGAAGAAGGCGUGUAGUUUAAGAGAUGACACGUUUGACUGUACCCGCAGAGUAAGCACCGGCUAACUCUGUGCCAGCCGCCGCGGUAAAAC
rnacentral:rRNA from 1 species